GACGGGGGAUGCAAGUGUUAUCCGGAAUCACUGGGCGUAAAGCGUCUGUAGGUGGUCAAAUAAGUCAACUGUUAAAUCUUGAGGCUCAACCUCAAAAUCGCAGUCGAAACUAUUAGACUAGAGUAUAGUAGGGGUAAAGGGAAUUUCCAGUGGAGCGGUGAAAUGCGUAGAUAUCAGGAAGAACACCCGUGGCGAAAGCGGCUCUCUGGAACGGUACUGACGCUGAGACGCGAAAGCGUGGGGAGCGAACAGG
rnacentral:rRNA from 1 species